CAAAAUGUAGUUUAGUAUCAAACAUUUCGCUUACACCGAAAAAACUUCUGUUAACCCAGACCAUUUUGA
rnacentral:tRNA from 1 species